rnacentral:rRNA from 1 species
UGAGGAAUAUUGGUCAAUGGGCGAGAGCCUGAACCAGCCAUGCCGCGUGCAGGAAGAAUGCCCUAUGGGUUGUAAACUGCUUUUAUCAGGGAAUAAACCUCAGAACGUGUUCUGAGCUGAAGGUACCUGAUGAAUAAGCACCGGCUAACUCCGUGCCAGCAGCCGCGGUAAUACGGAGGGUGCAAGCGUUAUCCGGAAUCAUUGGGUUUAAAGGGUCCGCAGGCGGAUUUAUAAGUCAGUGGUGAAAGCCUAUUGCUCAACAAUAGAACUGCCAUUGAUACUGUAAGUCUUGAAUUCGGUCGAAGUGGGCGGAAUAUGACAUGUAGCGGUGAAAUGCUUAGAUAUGUCAUAGAACACCGAUAGCGAAGGCAGCUCACUAGGCCUGGAUUGACGCUCAGGGACGAAAGCGUGGGGAGCAAACAGG